CCCUUAGAUGUUCUGGGCCGCACGCGCGCUACACUGAUGCAUUCAACGAGCCUAUCCUUGACCGACAGGUCCGGGUAAUCUUUGAAUCUGCAUCGUGACGGGGAUAGAUUAUUGCAAUUAUUAAUCUUCAACGAGGAAUGCCUAGUAGGCGCAAGUCAUCAGCUUGCGUCGAUUACGUCCCUGCCCUUUGUACACACCGCCCGUCGCUCCUACCGAUUGAAUGAUCCGAUGAAUAUCAUGGAUUGAGGAUGCAAGUAGGUUCACCUAUCUUCAUCUUCGAGAAGUGAAGUAAAUCUUAUCAUUUAGAGGAAGGAGAAGUCGUAACA
rnacentral:rRNA from 1 species